rnacentral:rRNA from 1 species
UACGUAGGGUGCAAGCGUUAAUCGGAAUUACUGGGCGUAAAGCGUGCGCAGGCGGUUGUGCAAGACAGAUGUGAAAUCCCCGGGCUCAACCUGGGAAUUGCAUUUGUGACUGCACGGCUAGAGUGUGUCAGAGGGGGGUAGAAUUCCACGUGUAGCAGUGAAAUGCGUAGAGAUGUGGAGGAACACCGAUGGCGAAGGCAGCCCCCUGGGUCAAGACUGACGCUCAUGCACGAAAGCGUGGGGAGCAAACAGG